UGGGUGUUUAGUUUAUUUAAAACAAAUGUUUUGAAAGCAUUUAAAGGAAGUAGUUUCCAACUCCC
rnacentral:tRNA from 1 species